rnacentral:lncRNA from 1 species
UGCAUAAUAAAAUAACAAAAGUAAAAAAGAAAGCCAAUUUUAAAGUCACUAAAACAACAUUAAUAUCGAAAGAGAUAUCAACAGAAAAGUAUUGAUAUUUGAAAUUGGCUAUGCCAUCAAGACAUUUAAUUUAGGGACCACUGAACUGAAUUACCAACCAACAAAACUUUGAAAAUCAUUUUGAACCACAAAUAUAAAACCCACACAUAAAUGCUAUCGUUAUGGCAUUUUAGUCAAUACCAUAGUAAUAUUGGUGAUCUUAGUUCUAUCUUUGGGCACAUUAUCAGUUACAUAUUUUUGAGACAAUUCACUCUUAUGAAAAAUUUAAUCAAAUGAAAUAUUUAUAAGUAGAGUUACAUAGUAAUAUAAAAACAUGUUUUGUGCAAUUCAUUCUUAUGAAAAAUUUUAAUUAAAUGAAAUAUUUAUAAGUGGAGUUUUUUUUUAUUAAAUAAGUGGAGUUUUCUUAGAGGUGCUACAUCAUCACAAUAUUUGCUUGUGAGCAACUCAACUUUCCUUUUACUAGUAAAAGAUAUAUAUAUGUUAUAUUAAUUGUGGUAAACAUUUUUUUUGGUUACUAUUUAUGGUAAACAUAUACAAACACAAAAUAGUUUCGGGUUAUUUUUUAGCUAUAUAAUGAGCCCUAAAAUAAUUAAUGAUAUUGCACAAAUAGACACAGACUUGAAGUAAGACCAUAUACAAUGGUUACCAACAUUCAACACCACUUUUUCACUUCCCAACACUCCAUGUCAUUUUUUUUUUCUUCCACCUAAUCAUUCAACACACAUUAAACUUUUAUCCUCUCCAAUAGUUUUUUCAUUCAACACUCUACUCCACCACUUUCUCUACCCCACCACUUUUUAUUUCAUAUUCUUAUUUAAAUUUAUGUUUUUGUUUUUAUGAUUACAUAAAAUUACAAUUAUCGAUUAAAAUUAAAUUAAAAUAAUAAGCACUUAACAAUUGAAACACUCCAAAUGCACGUUCGAUGUCCUUCCGAUAUCCCUCCUAAUAUUUUGCAAAUAACUUAUCGGGUUCACUUUGAGGAAGUCUAAUCGAUUUGACGAAAGUUGGAUAAGAAGGGUAGAUAUAAUCAGCUAGAUAGUAUGUCAUAUUAUAGGAACGUUGAUUCACAAAGAAAUUAACGGUGGGAGCAUUUCCCUGUUCCACAUCAUCAAACACUGAUGACUGGUCUAGAAAGUUUAUAUCGUUCAACUGCUUCAAAAGAGGCAUCCAAAAAAGGCAUGUCAGAUCCAUAAAUCAUGAGAUACAACUGCUUCAAGAAUAACUGUGAUGGUUCCCUAAAAAAAAGACUAAUACUUCAAGAUUAACACUAAUAGGAAGAUAAUAAUAAUAAGAUUAUUAUAGUGAAAAAAUCCAUUUUUUUUCUAUGUCCAAAUCAAAUGAACCAAGUCUCUAUUUCAGUGACUACACACCUCCGGUUUUAUAUUUCCAGCCAUCCGCAACAAGUUGUGUUGACUAAACUGGAAUGGACAGUUGUUCAUAUUUCUCAAUUUUGUUUGUAAAGGCCGUGUGGUUGUUCUAAGGCUUUGCUGCUGAAUGGGUGCUACUCAUUUGUUUAAUAGGGAGGAUGUUCUUUGUUGCUGCUCCUCCAUUGUAUCAGGUGGAAUUGGUUGUGUUUAUUUGCACCCCUUAUGCAUUUUUCAAUUUUAAUAAAACUUUUGCUUUUUUAAAAAAUAAAUAAAUUUAGCAAUUGUUAUAAUCUCCACAAAAAUGAUUAUAUUAUUUUAUUUUUAAGAAAAAAUAAAAUCAUAGAGCAAAGACAUCACAUGGUUAAUAUAUUGACACCCCACAACCAUCACAAUCAAUUUAAAUACCUAAUACUUAAUAUUUUAUAAAUAUAAGAAUAAAUACACUUUGGGGGACUAUGCCAAAACCCAAUUAUACAAUUCAAAAGAUCAACAACAUUUAACUCUUUAAAAAUCUUAUUAGUAAAAUACCAAAGAGAUAAAACACAAUGAAGAAAAAAAAAGUGCAUAAUAAAAUAACAAAAGUAAAAAGAAAGCCAAUCUUAAAGUCCACUAAAACAACCAUUAAUAUCGAAAGAGAUAUCAACAGAAGAGUAUUGAUAUUUAAAAUUGGCUAUACCAUCAAGACAUUUUUUUUAUAAGCAUAGAAUGAAUCAUGAGUACAAGGGGUACCUAACCCUUACAAUUCUAAAAGAAGCCAUUAGAUGCUAAAAAUGCAAGAUAAUGGAUCUUUACACUAAAUCUGAAAAUACAAGAGAAGACUUAGAAAUUAUUCUACCAACAAACCAAAACCAGGAGAUAUAAAUAAUUUGAUCCACUAAUGAUUGCAAGUUAAUGACAUCUCCUCUAAACAUUAUAUUAUUACGGGCUCGCCACAAGCUCCAUGUAGUUGCCAACCAAAUUACAUGUCGAGCUUUUGCAUAAGACUUAUUCUUCACCAAAGCACCAAAGGAGACUUAUUACCAUCAAGACAUUUAAUUUAGAGACCACUGAAUUACCAACCAACAAAACUUUGAAAAUCAUUUUGAACCACAAAUAUAAAACCCACACACAAAUGCUAUCGUUAUGGCCUUUUAGUCAAUAUCAUAGUAAUAUUGGUGAUCUUAG